rnacentral:rRNA from 1 species
UACAGAGGGUGCAGGCGUUGUUCGGAAUUAUUGGGCGUAAAGCGCACGUAGGCGGCUUUGUAAGUUAGAGGUGAAAGCCCGGAGCUCAACUCCGGAACUGCCUUUAAGACUGCAUCGCUUGAAUCAUGGAGAGGUUAGUGGAAUUCCGAGUGUAGAGGUGAAAUUCGUAGAUAUUCGGAAGAACACCAGUGGCGAAGGCGACUAACUGGACAUGUAUUGACGC